rnacentral:tRNA from 1 species
GAGGGUAUAGCUCAGUGGCAGAGUGCAUGCUUAGCAUGUAGAAGGUUCUGGGUUCAAUCCCUAGUACCUCCA